UUGGUGCCUUCGGGAACUGUGAGACAGGUGCUGCAUGGCUGUCGUCAGCUCGUGUUGUGAAAUGUUGGGUUAAGUCCCGCAACGAGCGCAACCCUUAUCCUUUGUUGCCAGCGGUCCGGCCGGGAACUCAAAGGAGACUGCCAGUGAUAAACUGGAGGAAGGUGGGGAUGACGUCAAGUCAUCAUGGCCCUUACGACCAGGGCUACACACGUGCUACAAUGGCGCAUACAAAGAGAAGCGACCUCGCGAGAGCAAGCGGACCUCAUAAAGUGCGUCGUAGUCCGGAUUGGAGUCUGCAACUCGACUCCAUGAAGUCGGAAUCGCUAGUAAUCGUGGAUCAGAAUGCCACGGUGAAUACGUUCCCGGGCCUUGUACACACCGCCCGUCACACCAUGGGAGUGGGUUGCAAAAGAAGUAGGUAGCUUAACCUUCGGGAGGGCGCUUACCACUUUGUGAUUCAUGACUGGGGUGAAGUCGUAACAAGGUAACCGUAGGGGAACCUGCGGUUGGAUCAC
rnacentral:rRNA from 2 species